UACGUAGGUGGCAAGCGUUGUCCGGACUUAUUGGGUUUAAAGGGUGCGUAGGCGGUCCUAUAAGUCAGUGCUGAAAUAUCCCGGCUUAACCGGGAGGGUGGCAUUGAUACUGCAGGACUUGAGUAAAGUUGAGGUAGGCGGAAUUGACGGUGUAGCGGUGAAAUGCUUAGAUAUCGUCAAGAACACCAAUAGUGUAGACAGCUUACUAAGCUUUAACUGACGCUGAGGCACGAAAGUGUGGGGAUCAAACAGG
rnacentral:rRNA from 1 species